GAGAGAGGUCAUGAGACAAUAGAAACUGCUAAUUUCUACCCCCGCAGUUAAAAUCUGCGGCUCACUCA
rnacentral:tRNA from 1 species